UACGGGGGGGGCAAGCGUUGUUCGGAAUUACUGGGCGUAAAGGGUUCGUAGGUGGCCAACUAAGACAGACGUGAAAUCCCUCAGCUUAACUGGGGAACUGCGUCUGAUACUGGUUGGCUUGAGUGCAGGAGAGGAAUGCGGAAUUCCAGGUGUAGCGGUGAAAUGCGUAGAUAUCUGGAGGAACACCGGUGGCGAAGGCGGCAUUCUGGACUGCAACUGACACUGAAGAACGAAAGCCAGGGGAGCAAACGGG
rnacentral:rRNA from 1 species